ensembl:lncRNA
ACAUUACAAAUGUUGUAUGCAUGCUGCAAUUUAUGCUAUCGUGAAUAUCAAAGGAGAAAAGACCAAAUAUGAGUGAGAUGUCUGUACAAAUUCAAAUGUUUUCAGUUCCAACAGUGAUUAUCAAUUAAUUUAAUGUUAUGACGAAACUGGCAAAUCAGAAAUGCAGAAUUCAAUUCUAUUAAUUAAUUAAUUAAUUAAUUAAUAUAAAAAAAUAAGAAUUGUCCCUUUAAUGACUUCAUUAAGGCAUUACCAACAUGCUGCAUGAUGUUGCCUUUGAUUGAUCUAAACCCAAAUACUGAGAGGUAUCUGAUAGUCAGUCAAAAUAUAUACUCACAAAGCAAAGCCAAAGACGCUCUCGUGGUGUGGCUCUUAAAAGAGCCUUUGGGGUGUAUGUAGCUGCUGUUGACAAAAGAGGGAAAAGGGAGAAAGGACCAAAUAUGAGUAAAAUAUGUCUGUACAAAUUCAAAUGUUUUCAGUUCCAUCAGUGAUUAUUGAUUAAUAAAUAUGUUAUGACGAAACUGGCAAAUCAGAGAUGCAGAAUUCCAUUCUAGUCUAUUAAUUAAUUUAUUUAAAGAAGUAUCCUUUUAAUGUCUUCAUUAAGAUUAUAACUUGCCACAUUAAGUUGCUUUAAUUGAUAUAUUGAUCAGUUAGCAUGUUAUGAUGAAUCUGGCAAAUCAGUAGGUUGACUUACAACAAUCAGAUGGCAAUCAACACUGAGAAAAAAGAGAGAGAAGAGAAUAAAUUAUUUGCAUGGUAUAAAUUCUCAAAGUUUCUCAAAGGCUCUGAUGAAUACAUAAUCCACAUUAAGAUGCAUUUAGAAUAAUAACAACAAUACUACUACUACUACUACUAAUAAUAAUAAUGAUAACUAUUAUUGUUAUUAUUGUUAUAGUUGAACAAAAUGAGAGAUGAUCUAUUUCAUUAUAGAGGGUUUAUGAGUCUCUCUCUCUCUCUUUCGCUCUCGGUGCCAGCGUGUGUGAGAGAGAGAGUGAGAGGGAGCUCACGCGCUCGCAGUCAAACCUGUGACAACGCAAUAUUUUCCAUACAAAUUAAAGAUAUUAUGAAGCAUAGUUGUAUAACUUAUCUAUUUUCAAUGAACGUUAUCAUGACAGAUAACUCAAACGAAAGAGCGUCUCUCAAACGGAGCGUAUUGGCUCCAUUAGCAAUGACGUCGACACACCGAUGUAACCAACGUCUUCUCACUGACGUCACUCACUUCUAAAACUUGUCUGCCGCCAUCUUGAGUAAGUUACCUGAUUCACGUCAGUCGCAAAGGAACUAAAGUUAGCUAGCUAUGCCUUCAAUAUGUUGUGCGGUGGGGUGCAACAACAAAAAAGGAGACCCCAAAAUAUUCUUUUACAGGUUACCUCAGGACGAAAAAAGACGCCAUCAACAGGGCAGACUGGACACCAACAGCAAACACUCGUCUGUGCAGUGCUCAUUUUUUCUGUGGUUUGAGAGUCCCACUUUGUUAAAUAUAAUUGAGCAACCAUAGGUGGCGAUAAGCACGCGAGCAGGCAUUGAGGCAAUGGAUGAAGAUGAGCCAGCUAGCUGCGCUGAACGCGAUCAUUGUUGAUGGUUGAGAGUGAGAUGUGCUUUGGAAAACCAUCAUUCUCUUCAAUGGCUUCACAAAAUUCCGACUGAAAAUUUACUGAACAAAGAGUGAAGUAGCAAAGGUAAGGUUUUAAACUUCAGUUCAGUGAUACUGAACAAUAACUCUUCUGUGGUGUACGAGGAGAGGAUGUACAAACUGCAAGUAAUGAUGGCGAGCCAACCCAGACUGUGGCUUUCAUCUUUGUUUCAAGUGUUCCUGCAAAGGCGACCUGUUACACAGCGGAUUCUCUGUAAACUGAUACCAAACAGUUGGAGUAUCCGGGAUCUGUUUUUAACUGAACAAGGCAUCGAUUUCUUCCAUUCUUCUACCAAUUUUUUUUUUCUGAACUGGAAAUCUUUUUUCUUCAACAUCUUCCUGAACUGAAUUGAAUUGUAUUCCACGACAAGAACAGAAAUUAAAUGGAAUUUAAGUACCACACAUUAUAAUUGUAUUUUCAUUUCAUGUACAGCAUAAAUUUUGUGUAUUGCUUGUCUGUCUAACAGUAAAGUGCUGACUGACGUCGGAAGUGCUGAGAACACACAUUAUAACUUCCUUCAACUGUCGGUCAUAGCGGGCUUGUGGGCAUCUUCUGAAAAAAAAAAAAUCUUAGAGAAAUGUUGCAAAAAAGUAUCCCAUAUAAUUUCAUUCUAGAAAGGCAUUUAUAUAAUAUAAUUGUAUGUAGUCUUACAAUUGAUUCCACUUAUGUUACAGUUAUCAGGUGAUGGAUUCAGCACUGUAAAAUUGCCAAGAAGUAUCUGCAAAUAAAUAUUAAGCACAUUGUGAUUCUGUGCAUGAGGAUAAACCUUUGUGAGGUGAUAUGUUUUUACCAUAUGCUUGUAAAUUCUGUUUAAAAAUAAAAGUGGUAACAGAACAGGGGCAUGUACCAUGAUGGCAGAUGAACAAAGUGACUUGUUUUGUCAGACAUGUGUCACUUCUCUCAUCUCCUUGCAUCUGAUUGGUCCAAUUUCAGUUUGCGAUCUCUAAUUCAGAACAUAACCUGCAGGUAUGGCAAUGAACGCAGUUAGCCAAGCCACUUUCACGGCACAGGAUUGCUGCAAACUAAACUGAAACUUACCUGGCUAGCCAGCUAAACCGGCUUCAUGGUACAGGCCCCUGAUUCAACUCUUAAAAUGACUGGUAAUCUGCUAAAACCUGAUCGCAAUGUUGGGGGCCUUCAAGGAAAAUGGUAAGGCAACACUAAAACAUUGUGAAUGACCAUCUUUUGUGUCUGAUACACUAUUUAAAAAAAUAAACACUAAAAACUACUUUUUUUGUCAAUGUCAAAUGUAAUAUAACUAUUCAUUUUGAGAUCUGCUAAAGAAAAAAAAGGUUUUGAAAGCGUUCUUUGAAAUAAUCUAUGUUUAUUUAAUUAUAGUUCUUGUUUUUAAAAGUAAAUAAAAGAAAACAGGCUGCACAAAUAUUUAAUUAACUAAAAAAGACUUUGCCAAUCAAUGAGCGCCCUCUACUGACUGAUAAUGGUCAUGUAAUUAAGCAUUUGAUCACUGCUAUUAAAGCACAAAACAUGUGCAACCUUUCAAUUGGUUUAAGAAAAAUAUAACCUAAAAAUAACCUACAG